rnacentral:pre_miRNA from 1 species
UUUUCAGUAUAAGUGUAUCCCAUGAAAUAUUUGGAAUAUACUUACACUAAAA